rnacentral:rRNA from 1 species
CACUCCUGCGGGAGGCAGCAGUGGGGAAUAUUGGACAAUGGGCGCAAGCCUGAUCCAGCCAUGCCGCGUGAGUGAUGAAGGCCCUAGGGUUGUAAAGCUCUUUCACCGGUGAAGAUAAUGACGGUAACCGGAGAAGAAGCCCCGGCUAACUUCGUGCCAGCAGCCGCGGUAAUACGAAGGGGGCUAGCGUUGUUCGGAUUUACUGGGCGUAAAGCGCACGUAGGCGGACUAUUAAGUCAGGGGUGAAAUCCCGGGGCUCAACCCCGGAACUGCCUUUGAUACUGGUAGUCUUGAGUUCGAGAGAGGUGAGUGGAAUUCCGAGUGUAGAGGUGAAAUUCGUAGAUAUUCGGAGGAACACCAGUGGCGAAGGCGGCUCACUGGCUCGAUACUGACGCUGAGGUGCGAAAGCGUGGGGAGCAAACAGGAUUAGAAACCCUUGUAGUCCCAUGA